AUGGACUACUCUAAUGGUUCUUUCUUUCCUUCAUGGCCUGACAAUUCCGCUUCUGAGAAUUAUAGCUUUGUUGAUGGUUCAGUGGAAUCAUAUGCAGAAGAAGGAAGUAUGCCACCUGCAGGCUAUUUCAGAGCUAGAUCAAAUCAGAAUUUAACAUUUGAUGAGCAUGAACAGAACCCUGCUAUGCUUGCAAAUGGGUGCUUGCCGUACAACACCCAGACUGAUCUAUUAUCUGGUGAGAUUCUGUCAGAGAACAAACCUUCCAACAGCCUUAUGGAGCUUCCACAACUUCAGAACAAUGGCAGUCUGCAAAGUAAUUUAAUCCCAUCAGGGACUCUUCACUGCACUUCAACACCUGGAACAUUUGACCUGCAGUUGGAUACCCCUGGCCUUCUAGAACUUCCUCAUGCCUUGUCCAGUUCAAUUGAAAGCAAUGGUAGUGAAGUUUCAGCUUUUCUUGCUGAUGUACAUGCUGUUUCUUCAGCCUCAACUCUGUGUUCGACAUUCCAAAAUGUUCCUUCCUACAUGGAACCAGUAAGCCUAGAAGCUUUCAGUUUUCAAGGGAUACAAAAUGCUGCUAUGUUCAACAAUACAAGUCAUUCAAAUGGGAACCUGUCAGUAUUUGAUGAGGCAACCAUGGCAUCACUACAUGAUAGCAAAGAAUUUCUCAGUGGUGGCAUCUCAUCUUUUGGUACGGCCGAGCAGUCUCAACUAGCUGGUAGUGGUUUGAAGGCUGAACAACAGGAACAAAAUGUGAUGUGCAAUAUUCCGCUCCCUUUCGCUUCUGGUAGUCAGAUGGCAGUGAGUGAAGCACAAGGGACACUGAUUCCUUCAAAGAUAAGCUCAACGAUCCAUAACAAUAAAAGUGAGUACCCUGUCCCUAUCAGCCAUUCUGCUGAUGCGCAGAACAAGGCAAAUUCAGCUAAUGGAAAUAGUGCCAGUGCUAAGCCACGAGCAAGGGCUCGUCGUGGACAGGCAACUGACCCUCAUAGUAUUGCUGAACGGCUUCGCAGAGAGAAGAUCUCAGAGAGGAUGAAAAAUCUCCAAGACCUUGUACCAAAUUCAAAUAAGGCAGAUAAAUCAUCAAUGCUUGAUGAAAUAAUUGAUUAUGUGAAAUUUCUUCAGCUUCAGGUGAAGGUCUUAAGCAUGAGUAGGCUAGGAGCUCCCGGGGCAGUUCUUCCCCUCCUUGCAGAAUCUCAAACUGAGGGCCAUAGCAAUUCAUCUCUAUCACCUCCAACCGCUUCACAAGGGCUUCUGGAUGCAGCAGGCCCAGAAGACAGCUUGGUCUUUGAGCAAGAAGUUAUAAAGCUGAUGGAAACAAGCAUCACAAAUGCAAUGCAGUACCUUCAGAACAAGGGCCUCUGCCUGAUGCCUAUCGCUCUUGCUUCAGCCAUAUCCAACCAGAAAGGCACUUCUGCAGCUGCAGUCCCUCCUGAAAGGUGA
rnacentral:rRNA from 1 species